rnacentral:rRNA from 1 species
CCUACGGGAGGCAGCAGUAGGGAAUCUUCGGCAAUGGACGGAAGUCUGACCGAGCAACGCCGCGUGAGUGAAGAAGGUUUUCGGAUCGUAAAGCUCUGUUGUAAGAGAAGAACGAGUGCGAGAGUGGAAAGUUCACACUGUGACGGUAUCUUACCAGAAAGGGACGGCUAACUACGUGCCAGCAGCCGCGGUAAUACGUAGGUCCCGAGCGUUGUCCGGAUUUACUGGGCGUAAAGCGAGCGCAGGCGGUUAGAUAAGUCUGAAGUUAAAGGCUGUGGCUUAACCAUAGUACGCUUUGGAAACUGUUUAACUUGAGUGCAAGAGGGGAGAGUGGAAUUCCAUGUGUAGCGGUGAAAUGCGUAGAUAUAUGGAGGAACACCGGUGGCGAAAGCGGCUCUCUGGCUUGUAACUGACGCUGAGGCUCGAAAGCGUGGGGAGCAAACAGGAUUAGAUACCCUGGUAGUCCACGCCGUAAACGAUGAGUGCUAGGUGUUAGACCCUUUCCGGGGUUUAGUGCCGUAGCUAACGCAUUAAGCACUCCGCCUGGGGAGUACGACCGCAAGGUUGAAACUCAAAGGAAUUGACGG